GUCUGCAGUAAAAGCCUAAAUAUCCUAAACUUAAGGCACAAAAUCCUAGUUGAUCUUGGAAGUUAAGCAGGGUUACCCCAGGUAGGCACUUGGAUGGCAGACCAGAAAGGAGUAUCAGGUGCUGUAGGCU
rnacentral:rRNA from 1 species